GGGAACGUGGCUCAGUGGUAGAGUGCUUGCCUUGCAUGCAUGAGGACCUGGGUUCGAUUCCUCAGCACCA
rnacentral:tRNA from 1 species